GCGGCAAAAGGGUGAGUAAUACAUGGGUGAUGUGCCCUUGACUCCGGCAUAGCUUCGGGAAACUGAAGGUAAUUCCGGAUAGUCCUACUGGAUUUCAUGGUCUUGUAGGUAAAGGUGGGGAUCCUUCGGGACCCACAGGUCAGGGAGCGGCUCAUGCGCUAUCAGCUUGUUGGUGAGGUAACGGCUCACCAAGGCUACGACGGCUAGGCGGUCUGAGAGGAUGACCGCCCACAUCGGGACUGAGACACUGCCCGGACUCCUACGGGAGGCUGCAGUCGAGAAUCAUCCGCAAUGGGCGAAAGCCUGACGGUGCGACGCCGCGUGAGGGACGAAGGCUCUAGGGUUGUAAACCUCUUUCGCCUGUUAAGAAUGUGCUGGUGUUAAUAGCACUAGUGCUGACAAAGGCAGGUAAAGAAGCACCGGCUAACUCCGUGCCAGCAGCCGCGGUAAGACGGAGGGUGCAAGCGUUACUCGGAAUUACUGGGCGUAAAGGGUCCGUAGGCGGCCUGGAAAGUUGGAUGUGAAAUCCCACAGCUUAACUGUGGAACUGCGUCCAAAACUAUCAGGCUAGAGGAUGGUAGGGGACAGUGGAACUCAAGGUGGAGCGGUGAAAUGCGUAGGGAUCUUGAGGAACGCCGGUGGCGAAAGCGACUGUCUGGGCCAUUCCUGACGCUGAGGGACGAAAGCUAGGGGAGCGAACGGGAUUAGGUACCCCGGUAGUCCUAGCUGUAAACGAUGACCACUAGG
rnacentral:rRNA from 1 species